rnacentral:rRNA from 1 species
CGCGGCCUAUCAGCUUGUUGGUGGGAUAACGGCCUACCAAGGCAACGACGGGUAGCUGGUCUGAGAGGACGAUCAGCCACACUGGCACUGAGAUACGGGCCAGACUCCUACGGGAGGCAGCAGUGAGGAAUAUUGCGCAAUGGGCGAAAGCCUGACGCAGCAACGCCGCGUGGGGGAUGACGGCCUUCGGGUUGUAAACCCCUUUCAGCAGGGACGAAAAUGACGGUACCUGCAGAAGAAGCCCCGGCCAACUACGUGCCAGCAGCCGCGGUAACACGUAGGGGGCAAGCGUUGUCCGGAUUUAUUGGGCGUAAAGAGCUCGUAGGCAGUUGCGUAAGUCGGAUGUGAAAACUCAGGGCUCAACCCGGAGACUGCAUUCGAUACUGCGCUGACUAGAGUCCGGUAGGGGAGCAUGGAAUUCCUGGUGUAGCGGUGAAAUGCGCAGAUAUCAGGAGGAACACCAGUGGCGAAGGCGGUGCUCUGGGCCGGUACUGACGCUGAGGAGCGAAAGCGUGGGUAGCGAACAGGAUUAGAUACCCUGGUAGUCCACGCCGUAAACGUUGGGCACUAGGUGUGGGGCCUACUUAACGGGUUCCGUGCCGUAGCUAACGCAUUAAGUGCCCCGCCUGGGGAGUACGG